rnacentral:rRNA from 1 species
CAAUAGCGUAUAUUAAAGUUGUUGCAGUUAAAAAGCUCGUAGUUGGAUUUCUGGUUGAAGCGACCGGUCGGGCGUUGAUUCGUCUGCACUGGAGUCGGUUUUGGCCAUCCUCUAGGAAAGUGCGUCUGGUAUUAAGUUAUCGGGCGUAUGAUCCUGGUCUUUUACUGUGAAAAAAUUAGAGUGUUUAAAGCAGGCCUUCGCCUUGAAUACAUUAGCAUGGAAUAAUAAGAUAGGACUUUGGUCUAUUUUGUUGGUUUGCAGACCGAAGUAAUGAUUAAUAGGGAUAGUUGGGGUUAUUUAUAUUCCGAUGUCAGAGGUGAAAUUCUUAGAUUUUCGGAAGAUAAACUUAUGCGAAAGCAUUUACCAAGGAUGUUUUCAUUAA